UGCGGCGUCUACCUGCAGUCGAACGGUAACAGGAAGCAGCUUGCUGCUUUGCUGACGAGUGGCGGACGGGUGAGUAAUGUCUGGGAAACUGCCUGAUGGAGGGGGAUAACUACUGGAAACGGUAGCUAAUACCGCAUAACGUCGCAAGACCAAAGAGGGGGACCUUCGGGCCUCUUGCCAUCGGAUGUGCCCAGAUGGGAUUAGCUAGUAGGUGGGGUAACGGCUCACCUAGGCGACGAUCCCUAGCUGGUCUGAGAGGAUGACCAGCCACACUGGAACUGAGACACGGUCCAGACUCCUACGGGAGGCAGCAGUGGGGAAUAUUGCACAAUGGGCGCAAGCCUGAUGCAGCCAUGCCGCGUGUAUGAAGAAGGCCUUCGGGUUGUAAAGUACUUUCAGCGGGGAGGAAGGGAGUAAAGUUAAUACCUUUGCUCAUUGACGUUACCCGCAGAAGAAGCACCGGCUAACUCCGUGCCAGCAGCCGCGGUAAUACGGAGGGUGCAAGCGUUAAUCGGAAUUACUGGGCGUAAAGCGCACGCAGGCGGUUUGUUAAGUCAGAUGUGAAAUCCCCGGGCUCAACCUGGGAACUGCAUCUGAUAC
rnacentral:rRNA from 1 species